UUUCAGAGGAUGAGGUUAGUUUUUCAGAGGGGGAGGUUAGUUUAUCAGAGGGGGAGGUUAGUUUUUCACACGGGGAGUUUAGUUUUUCAGAGGGUGAGGUUAGUUUUUCAGAGGGGGAGGUUAGUUUAUCAGAGGGUGAGGUUAGUUUGUCAGAGGGGGAGGUUCGUUUUUCAGAGGAUGAGGUUAGAUUUUCAAUGGGUGAGGUUAGUUUGUCAGAGGGGGAGGUUCGUUUUUCAGAGGGUGAGGUUAGUUUUUCACAGGGGGAGUUUAGUUUUUCAAUGGGUGAGGUUAGUUUGUCAGAGGGGGAGUUUAGUUUUUCAGAGGGGGAGGUUAGUUUUUCGGUAGAAGUUUCCUCUUAGAUCUUCUAGGAGAGGAUCCGUUUUCCUAGCUCAUACUGUCUUGUUGCUGUCUGAGCUCCUGCUGCUCUGAUGGACUCAUGGAGGUCCAGCUCUACCUCCUGAGGUCCUGCCUGGCAUCUACCACCAACAACAGGUGAGUAUUCCAUGGUUUCCUGCACAGAAGGCGAUCAUCUGAAGAUGCUAAAGGUAAGGUCUGCUAGCUUCCAAACGUUGCAUCUGUUUAUCUCUUCAGCGUCGGAUCUCUCACUCUGGUUUUCUCUGUUUCUCUGAGCUGAACGUGACUGAAGUGAGGCGCGAAGAGGAGCCACCCGGACCGCUGAGACUCAACGUUCCUGCUGGACGUCCAGGAUUUCCAUGGCGAUGAAGAACUCCAAACCAAAGGACGAGAUGGAGAGCAUGUGAUUUGACAACAAAGGCAGGAUUCCCGUGUUUGUUCGGUCCACAGUGGAGACAAUGAACAGCUUUCAUCACCAGAUGUUCUUCAAGACCCAUCAAAGGCGUUGAAACCUUCACAACCAACUAAGAAGUUCCAGUUUCCUUGGAGCACCUGACAGCGGACGAUCAUCUCAAGAAAUUCCACAAAGACAGCGACGAAGAAGAAGAAGACAGCUCCAGCCAUAUUUUUAAUUUUAUUUUUACCUUUGUCCAUAACAUAUUCCCAUCCAUGUUUGAGUAGAUAUUUUUGUAAAUGGGUUUUUUUUGUAUAAUUAUAUUGUUGUAUUUUUGUAUUUUGUAUAAUUAUAUUGUUAUAUUUUUCUGUUUUUUACAACUUGUUUUGAUGAUGAAUUUAAUUAAAUUUGUGUGUACUUUUUCUGAACUAA